GAGUUUGAUUCUGGCUCAGAUUGAACGCUGGCGGCAGGGCCUAACACAUGGCAAGUCGAGCGGAUGACGGGAGCUUGCUCCUUGAUUCAGCGGCGGACGGGUGAGUAAUGCCUAGGAAUCUGCCUGGUAGUGGGGGGACAACGUUUCGAAAGGAACGCUAAUACCGCAUAUUCUGUGAGCAGGAAAGCGGGGGACCUUCGGGCCUCGCGCUCUUGGAGCGGCCGAUGUCGGAUUAGCUAGUUGGUGAGGUAAAGGCUCACCAAGGCGACGAUCCGUAGCAGGUCUGAGAGGAUGAUCUGCCACACUGGAACUGAGACACGGUCCAGACUCCUACGGGAGGCAGCAGUGGGAAUUUUGGACAAUGGGGGCAACCUGAUCCAGCCAUGCCGCGUGAGUGAAGAAGGCC
rnacentral:rRNA from 1 species